rnacentral:rRNA from 1 species
UAGAGUUUGAUCCUGGCUCAGAUUGAACGCUGGCGGUAUGCUUAGCACAUGCAAGUCGAACGGAAACGAUGGAAGCUUGCUUCCAGGCGUCGAGUGGCGGUCGGGUGAGUAACGCGUAGGAAUCUGCCUGAUAGUGGGGGAUAGCCCGGAGAAAUUCGGAUUAAUACCGCAUAAUCUCUACGGAGUAAAGGAGGCCUCUAUUUAUAUGCUUUCGCUAUCAGAUGAGCCUGCGUAAGAUUAGCUAGUUGGUGAGGUAAAGGCUCACCAAGGCGACGAUCUUUAGCUGGUCUGAGAGGAUGAUCAGCCACACUGGGACUGAGACACGGCCCAGACUCCUACGGGAGGCAGCAGUGGGGAAUAUUGGACAAUGGGCGCAAGCCGGAUCCANCAAUACCGCGUGUGUGAAGAAGGCCUGAGGGUUGUAAAGCACUUCCAAUUGU